ACAGGACUGAGUGACACUGCUCCAGAAUGUUCAUUCACAGAGCACAAUAUCCUAAAACAGGAUAAGCAGUCAAAUCUCUGGUCCAACUGGGCUUAUGGAGUUCAAAUAAAGCGGAAUGAGGCCUGGCUGUCCAAGAGGAACAAACUGCAAUGAGGCCACACACACCUGACUGAAGCGGGAGUGAGAAGAAGGUGCUGCUGCUGUGUCGUCGGGGGUGACAGUGGCACCGUGGAGGAGCAGGAUGAGAGAGCUGUAAACGGGGUCAGGGGCCCUGGCAGAGGAGGGGAUGUAGCUCAGGGACGGCGCCAACACAAAAGCUUCUCGUUUUCACAGACUGGUGUAAAUGGGAGCCAGAGUCGUUUUGUUGUCUCCUGUGAUGUAAAGUACAGAUAGUUUUACAGGAAGGUAGCUUUAGAUAUAUAAAACUCUCCUUUUCUUGGGUCUACGUGUCUACGGCUUUAUCGAGUGGAACAAACCGAAGCACUCUGCCGGAGCUUUGAUGUCAUCCUUGGAGGUUCCUGUUACUAGCUGCAUACAGACAGACCAGGUUGUACAGUUUCAAUUGAGCAGACCCAUUGUUAGACUAUAUAAAUUAAACUAAGUAGGGUUGUUUGUUUGUUUGUGUCAUCAGGCUUUUAGUUGGUCUGUCUGUAUGUUUCUUUUUAUUCUGGCUGUCCACAGACAUGAGCUACACCGGGCAACUGUGCAAAACCCGUGAAGAAAGGAACUUCCCAGUUUUCAGUGUUUCUCCCUGGAAGAAUGAAUGUGUAGUACAUAUAAUAUAUGUGUAAAAACACAUAUUUUGCUGCAGAGAAGGCCGGGCCAUAACAAAGAUACACAGCUGCAGCUUCUGCCGUUUCUUUGUCUCUGCUCCUUUGCGUCAUCUUAAAAGGCACACCUGCGAGGCUUUGAGAAAGGCUUUUUUCUUUUUGAACAUGAUCCUCUUUCCAAGUUGGUUUCUUUCCAUUGAACAGCUCAGUUUUUGGCUUGAUGAAGGAGUCUACAUUUCUUGUUUUUUUUCUCUUUUUGGAUAUCCAGCGGAGCACUAACAAAAUGAUUAAUAGAAAGUGUAUCAUUACAGUACAAGCAUUACAAUUACAUGAUUUAGCUCUUAAACAAAACUUUCAAGAAACAUAUAUUAUCUUUAACCAAUUAAAAUAUGUAUGUUUCCUCUACCAGGCAUCAAUUUCCAUAAACACUGCACAAGUGAACAUCAAGUUUCAUAAAUUUUGAGAGUUGAUGCAGUUCAGACCUUUCAAAUCAAUCGGCACCGAGAAGGAUUUCAAAACAACAACAUGGAUAACUUGAAUGCUCUUUAUGGUUUUAUAUGAAAAGCUAUUAAAUAUAUUUGGAGAAUGCC
ensembl:lncRNA